CGCCGUCACAGACGAAGCGCCGCACAGGAGUCGUACCAGCAUCAGCGCCGCUACCUGCACCGCCGCCGCCGCGGCCGCCGCCGCCGCCGGGUCCAGCAGCGCACCCACCGCCGCCAGCAAACCUGGCUCCUUCGCCACUGCCAGCGCGGUCUCCGCUCCGGCACGCGCUGCCGUACACAGCACCGCCAGCAGCGGCAGCACCGCCGCCGGGGCGCGGCGUGACGUCAGCAAGUACCGAAUUCUUUGUAGGAGGCCCAUCUGUAACGCUCCUGUCAAGGGAUCGACGAGGGCGACAUCUUCAGGUGCAUCAGGCUCGUCGUCGUCGUCGGCGGCGGCGGCAGCGGUGGCGGCGGCGGCGGCGGCGGCGGCCUCCCACGACGCGGCGGCCCCGCGGCGGGUUAGGUAUCCACCCGAGGCUGCGGGCCAGCCUGUGGACGGGCUGGCGUCCGCCAUUUCCGCCGCCAGGAGCUCGGCUUCGGAGCGACCCAACUGAAAUUGACAACGGACAACGGACAAUCGACAAGGGAGACAGGUAUGGAGGGAGUUUUACAGCACCGCCGCAGCAGCAAAUUAAACCCAAACGGGAAGCAGUACGGGAACGGGAGUUGCUAGAGACGGACGGCACAGGUGCUGGUGACGGCACCCGGGGGUGACCUCACGAGAGCGCCGAAGGAAGAGGGGGUUGGUAGUGGAGAGAGGUGGGGAAUUGAUAAUUUCUCCUUUCAAUUUUGAUUAUGUUAAAAAAGCCUAAGAAAAGAAAAACAAAGAAAAAAUAAUUUAGGAAAAAGGAAAGAAGACGAAGAAAGAAAAAAAGAAGAAGAGGCAAAGUGUCCACAACCGAAGCCUAAAGAAGUCCAGCCUUUCCCAGCGCUCCCCCCCAGUUGCCGUCACACAGACAUACUGACAGACGCCGAUACACGGUUAUUCACCUACAUAAGGCCCCCCACAUCCACACCCACACAGAUCAUCUCACACCAGAUCUCACCGCAACCCCCCCCCAUCCUCCCCUACCCCCAUCCUCCCCUACACACAUACACACACGCAAAGCGCAAUGAGCACUCACCACCGCCGCCAGCGCCGCCGCCGCCGCCGACAGAACCACGGGUCGGUCGUCAUCCAGCGCAAGUCUCAGGUGCGCCACCAGGCCCAGCU
rnacentral:lncRNA from 1 species